rnacentral:rRNA from 1 species
CCUACGGGAGGCUGCAGUGGGGAAUAUUGGACAAUGGGGGCAACCCUGAUCCAGCCAUGCCGCGUGUGUGAAGAAGGCCCUCGGGUUGUAAAGCACUUUCAGUGAGGAAGAACGCCUGGUGGUUAAUACCCAUCAGGAAAGACAUCACUCACAGAAGAAGCACCGGCUAACUCCGUGCCAGCAGCCGCGGUAAUACGGAGGGUGCGAGCGUUAAUCGGAAUUACUGGGCGUAAAGCGCGCGUAGGUGGCUUGAUAAGCCGGUUGUGAAAGCCCCGGGCUCAACCUGGGAACGGCAUCCGGAACUGUCAAGCUAGAGUGCAGGAGAGGAAGGUAGAUUUCCCGGUGUAGCGGUGAAAUGCGUAGAGAUCGGGAGGAAUACCAGUGGCGAAGGCGGCCUUCUGGACUGACACUGACACUGAGGUGCGAAAGCGUGGGUAGCAAACAGGAUUAGAUACCCCAGUAGUC